rnacentral:lncRNA from 1 species
AGUCAUACGACUGAGCACACCACCAAUUGGUACGGCCGUAUGCUCUGUAUCAAAAGUGGGAAUGGGAGAGAAAUGAAUAUUUGCUUAAAAUGAAUCCAAACUAUCAAAAGACCUUUCCAAGAAGGAAAACUCAAGUGUUCAUUUCAGCUGAAAGGUUUGACCUCCAGCCUGCUUCUGUGUAAGAAUCAAUCAGUAACCAAUUUAGGUGAACUGGAUUUUCCAUCUUGUGGGCCCUGGUUCCUGGUUUCUUUUGCAACCAGAGUCUUGAAUCUGAGCAACUGUUCACUCUGGCCUCUGACCAGGAUCAGCAGAACUUAAGUCUACUCCAGCAGAAUGAGUGACCUAGGGACUUCUACGAAAAAAGGAUGUCAUAAAAAACUUUGUGAAAAAUGAAAUUUCUCUGCUUCUACUCUUAAAGUCUGUUCAUUUUGGAAACUAGGAAUUUUCUAGUAAAAAGAAAUUAAUGAAUAAAAUCAGCAAUUUCUAAUCUAUAUUUGUA